UACGAAGGGUGCAAACGUUGCUCGGAAUCAUUGGGCGUAAAGCGCACGUAGGCGGCCUUGUAAGUCGGACGUGAAAUCCCACGGCUCAACCGUGGAAGUGCAUCCGAAACUGCGAGGCUCGAGUAUGGAAGAGGGUCGCAGAAUUCCCGGUGUAGAGGUGAAAUUCGUAGAUAUCGGGAGGAAUACCAGUGGCGAAGGCGGCGACCUGGGCCAAUACUGACGCUGAGGCGCGAAAGCGUGGGGAGCGAUCCGG
rnacentral:rRNA from 1 species